rnacentral:rRNA from 1 species
AGUGAACGCUGGCGGUAGGCCUAACACAUGCAAGUCGAGCGGCAGCACAGUAAGAGCUUGCUCUUACGGGUGGCGAGUGGCGGACGGGUGAGGAAUACAUCGGAAUCUACUUUUUCGUGGGGGAUAACGUAGGGAAACUUACGCUAAUACCGCAUACGACCUACGGGUGAAAGCAGGGGAUCUUCGGACCUUGCGCGAUUGAAUGAGCCGCUGUCGGAUUAGCUAGUUGGCGGGGUAAAGGCCCACCAAGGCGACGAUCCGUAGCUGGCCUGAGAGGAUGAUAAGCCACACUGGAACUGAGACACGGUCCAGACUCCUACGGGAGGCAGCAGUGGGGAAUAUUGGACAAUGGGCGCAAGCCUGAUCCAGCCAUACCGCGUGGGUGAAGAAGGCCUUCGGGUUGUAAAGCCCUUUUGUUGGGAAAGAAAAGCAGCAGGUUAAUACCCCGCUGUUCUGACGGUACCCAAAGAAUAAGCACCGGCUAACUUCGUG